rnacentral:rRNA from 1 species
GUAGGGAAUCUUGCGCAAUGGGCGAAAGCCUGACGCAGCCAUGCCGCGUGAAUGAUGAAGGUCUUAGGAUUGUAAAAUUCUUUCAGCGGGGACGAUAAUGACGGUACCCGCAGAAGAAGCCCCGGCUAACUUCGUGCCAGCAGCCGCGGUAAUACGAAGGGGGCUAGCGUUGCUCGGAAUUACUGGGCGUAAAGGGCGCGUAGGCGGAUGUUUAAGUCAGAGGUGAAAGCCCAGGGCUCAACCUUGGAACUGCCUUUGAUACUGGACAUCUUGAGUAUGGGAGAGGUGAGUGGAACUCCGAGUGUAGAGGUGAAAUUCGUAGAUAUUCGGAAGAACACCAGUGGCGAAGGCGACUCACUGGCCCAUUACUGACGCUGAGGCGCGAAAGCGUGGGGAGCAAACAGGAUUAGAUACCCUUGUAGUCC